UCUUCUUACCACCCAGUGGGCGUAGAUGGUAGACUUUGGACGGCCAUUUUGUCCAGACUCCACACACAAUAUUUUGCCAUCAAAUCUGAGCCCGUUCACUUGGGGAACCUACGGUGACCUCAGCGUCCAUUCUAUGGGCCAUUCAAGACCACAACUAAUGGCCAUGGGACGAUAGCUACCUCUAAAGAGUUGAUAAAAAGAAGAAGAAUAGAUAAGAAAACAGAAGAAACGGAGAGUUGGAGGAGACAGAUGGAUCAGUUAACGGCGAUAGGGACGGAGCGAUGGUUGGGGAAGCUGGGGAGGCAUGUUUAUGCGUUUCUUUGCUUAGGGGUCGUACUCAUCGCUGCAACCUUCGUCCAUUACGCUUUUCCUGAGCAGCCGACGGGUGACGCGAGGGAGAGGUCCAGGAGAAGGCUGGUAGCCGUGCAGGCCGCUGAUUUCUGAUCCUUUUCUUUCUUUCCAUUUUGUCAAGUGUUGUAACAAUCUUCUAUCUAUAAGCAAAUACUGGUAGAGAGAGAGAGCUGCUAGAUCCCGAUCUCCUAGUUCUUACUUCUAUCGAGCUGUAACGAUACCUAACUUAACAAAUCUAGUCCCCUUGAGAAACUAUAAGAGGUUCCGCCCCAAGUAUUUGUUAAGAA